rnacentral:rRNA from 1 species
UACGUAGGGUGCGAGCGUUGUCCGGAAUUAUUGGGCGUAAAGAGCUUGUAGGCGGUUUGUCGCGUCUGCCGUGAAAGUCCGGGGCUCAACUCCGGAUCUGCGGUGGGUACGGGCAGACUAGAGUGAUGUAGGGGAGACUGGAAUUCCUGGUGUAGCGGUGAAAUGCGCAGAUAUCAGGAGGAACACCGGUGGCGAAGGCGGGUCUCUGGGCAGUAACUGACGCUGAGGAGCGAAAGCGUGGGGAGCGAACAGG